CUUUUGUGUCCUCUGGAAGGAAGCUGGGGAAGAAUCCUCUCCAUUGUUAAGUGACGGGGAUAGAAGCUGUCCUGCACAGGAAGUCACGAGGGGGGCGUAUCCCACGAGGAAGGCAGGAGGGGGCGUGCCCCUCACCGGAAAUUAGCAGAGGGGCGUGUCCCACACCGGAAGUCAGAAAGCGGAGCCUUUCUUACACCGGAAGUCAAUGAAGCGGGUCUUUCCUACGCUAAAAACCACUGAGUGGAGUAUUUAGUACACAGGAAGUCGGCCAGAGAAACAUUUCUCAUAUUUGAAGGCCGGAAAGAGGGACAUUUCUGACACCGGAAGUCAGUGAGAGGACUCUUUCCCACACAGGAAGUCAGCUAGAGAGCCGUCUCCCCUCUCUGGAGCCGAGAGAGGCCGGUUUCCCCCACCAUAGCAGGGCUGGGAGAAAGGGAUGGGGAGAGUCCCUCCUGCCACUGACCCAGGAUGGAUAAAAGUACCCCUUUCAUAGAAGGAAGAAAAUGGGAACAAAGGUGCUGCUGAUCAUCUGAGGUUGCCUGCAUGGCAGUGAAGAACAUGGACCUUUGGGUAGCCCACCUGGGAGGAAUUUUCCAGAGAUCACUGUCUGAUGACCCUGUCUUGGAAUUGGAGCCAUGCAAGUUACACUGACCACGUUUGGGUUGGGAUAUUGAGGAGGUUAUGGUUAAAAGCAUACGAUGGGAGAUCAUAUUGUACUUGCGAGUGAGACCCGGCUGGAGGAAUGUUUUAAUUCUUCGGAAAUACCAAGUGGUCUCUAGAUGGGUUUUCACUAUUUUUCCCAGGCUAGUCUCCAACUUCUGGGCUCAAGCGAUCCACCCGCCUUGGCCUCCUAAGUCCUAGGAUUAUAGGGGGACCUUUGGCCAUGUCUUGAGAUGUUUUUGGUUGCCGUGAUUGAGGAGGUGCUACCAGCGUCUGCUGGGCAGAGACCAGGGAUGCUGCUCCACAUCCCACAAUGCACAGGACAAUCUUCUCUACAGCAAUGAAUUAUCCAGUUCACAAUCUCAAUAGCACCAAUAUUGAGAAACCCUGUUGAAGAUGGAGACUAUCCACGGGGCAUUGAUCUUGGGGUCUCCCCCUUCCUGAAUACUUGAAGUCCCUCGGCAGACUCUUGGAUACCUCCAGCAAUGGGGAGCUCACCACCUGUUUUGAAGCCAGGCAGGUUUGGGCUCUUCUUGUAGCUGUGUGACUCUGGAUUUUCCCAUAGGUGGGAGUGGAUCCACCACCUUGAGCUUCAGUUUCCUCCAGUGCCAUGGGAUUAGCAGCAGCCCUGCCUCACAGAUUGCGUGAGGAUGAAAUGAGAUGAUGCUCCUGAGUUGGCUGGUGCAGUGCACGGUACACAGAGAGUGCUCAAUAAAUGUUCCCUGCUGUGAAU
rnacentral:lncRNA from 1 species